rnacentral:rRNA from 1 species
AUUGAACGCUGGCGGCAUGCCUUACACAUGCAAGUCGAACGGCAGCACGGGUGCUUGCUCCUGGUGGCGAGUGGCGAACGGGUGAGUAAUAUAUCGGAACGUACCUUAUUGUGGGGGAUAACGCAGCGAAAGCUGUGCUAAUACCGCAUAAUCCCUAAGGGGGAAAGCGGGGGACCGUAAGGCCUCGCGCAAUUAGAGCGGCCGAUACCUGAUUAGCUAGUUGGUGAGGUAAAGGCUCACCAAGGCAACGAUCAGUAGCUGGUCUGAGAGGACGAUCAGCCACACUGGGACUGAGACACGGCCCAGACUCCUACGGGAGGCAGCAGUGGGGAAUUUUGGACAAUGGGGGCAACCCUGAUCCAGCAAUGCCGCGUGAGUGAAGAAGGCCUUCGGGUUGUAAAGCUCUUUUGUCAGGGAAGAAACAGCAGCUCUAACACAGUUUGCGAAUGACGGUACCUGAAGAAUAAGCACCGGCUAACUACGUGCCAGCAGCCGCCGCAGUAA